CACGCAUAGAUACAUAUAUAUAUAUAUAUAUAUAUAUAUAUAUAUAUAUAUAUAUAUAUAUAAGUACCUACUAUUUUUUUUUAGUAAUAUAUGUGUUGUCUAUUUUAUAAAUAAUAUAUGCGCAUAUGUAUAUACAUAUGCAUGUUUUAUUAAUUUAUUUUGUUUUAUUGUUUGUUUAUUCAUUUUUUUUUUAUUCAUAUUUUUAUUCAUAUUUUUAUUCAUAUUUUUAUUCAUUUUUUUUUUAUUUAUUGUUUUAUUUAUUGUUUUAUUCAUUUUUUUAUUCAUUUUUUUAUUCAUUUUUUUAUUCAUUUCAUUGUAAGUGAACAUAUAAAAUCCAUUGACGUUUUAUAAAAAAGAAUAAAAAUACGUACAUAAACCGAACUUUUUUUUUUAUUGUUAAUGGUCAUGUAUUUGUAAAUACAAACUAACAUACAAACAUACAUACAUACAUACAUACAAACAUACAUACAUACAUACAAACAUACAUACAUACGUACAUACAUACGUACGGAAUCAUAAAGAAACAUUGAAGUACAUAAUAUAUAUUUGAAUAUAAGGCAAAAAAUGUUUUCGAAAAAUAUGAACGGUAAUCAAUCAUCACUGGUGGUAACCCAAAUACCACGUAAAAAACAAUUUUAUAAAACGAAGAUGUGUCCUUGGUUUUUUUCUGGUAGAUGUGAUAGAGGUAUGGAUUGUUUAUUUGCUCAUUCUAAAGAAGAACUUAAUCCAAUUCCUGAUUUAUCGUUUACAAGUUUAUGUCCAUUAGCUAAAAAAUCAGGUACUUGUAAAAACGAAAAAUGCAGUUAUGCACAUUCUGUAUGUGAACUACGACCAACAGGUGAUUUAUACAAAACAGCACCAUGUACGAAAUUUUUAAGAGGGAAAUGUAAUGCUGAAUCACAUUGUAGACAUGCACAUUAUAUAGAAGAAUUAAGACCAUUACCUGGUAAUUCGACACCAUCUCAAAAUGCUAUAAAUUUAAUGUUAGCAGCACCAGUCGUUAAUUCGUUUCAGAAAAUGAAUAAAACAAAGAAUAUGAAUAAAACCAGUAGUAAUAAUAAUAAUAAUAAUAAUUAUAUAAUGAAUGGAAUUAAUAACAAUCAUGGUAGUAACACUAAUAGUAACACUAAUAGUAACACUAAUAGUAACACUAAUAGUAACACUAAUAGUAACACUAAUAAUAACACUAAUAAUAAGAAUAAUAAUAAAAAAAAAAAUGAUAAACAUUUAAAACUUUUGAAUUCUUUAGGAUGUAACAAAUCUAAUAUACAAAAAUGUGACAAUAAUAAUAAUAAAGGUUUUUCAAGUCAAAUGAUAAAAAAUUCUGGUUUAGAUAUAAUGAAUACAAAUAAUGAUAUAAAUCGAUUAAACAUAAAUAAUAAUAGCAAUAACAAUAAUAUUAAUAAUAAUAUUAAUAGUAAUAAUAAUAGUAUUAAUGGUAAUAAUAAUGGUAAUAAUAAUGGUAAUAAUAAUGGUAAUAAUAAUGGUAAUAAUAAUAAUAAUAUGAUAACAAACAUACAUGGAGAUAUUGGCAAUUCAAUUUUAAGUGGUAGUAAUAGUACGAUUGCUUCAUUAAAUUGUAAUAUGCUUACACCUGAUAGUAGUAUGAGUACAGUGUGUGUUAAUAUGAGUACAUCUGGUGGUAGUGCUGUAUGUACCAUGAAUAGUAGUAAUAUAAUUCCUUUAAGUAAUGACCAUAAUAUUUUAAAUGGGAAUCAUAAAAUAUUAAUGAAUAGUAAUUAUGAGAAUAUGUUGAAUGAAAAUAAUAAUAAGUGUACGAUGAAUAAUGAUAUAAAUGAUAAUUUGAACAAUCCUAUGGAUGGUAAUUUGGAUGAUCACAUGGAUGGUAAUAUGAACAAUAAUCUUAGUAGUAAUAUGGAUAACAGUUUAAAUAUGAAUAUAAAUAAAAAUUAUCAAAAAAGUUCAUCUUAUCCUAAUAAAAUGCAUAACUUGUUAAAAAUUAAAGAAAAUAACAAUGAACCUUUUACCCGACACCAUCAUCACCAUCAUAAUCAUUAUCAACAUCAUCACACUGCUACUCUUAAUAACAUAAAUUUUAAAAAUUAUAUAAUAAAUAAUAAUAAUAAUAUUAAUAAUAAUAUUAAUAAUAAUAUUAAUAAUAGUAUAGAAAAUGAAGAUAGUCAGGAUUUAUCAUACCCUAACACAUUCCCAAAUUCAUAUACAAACUCUUAUACAAACUCUUAUACAAACUCUUAUACAAAUAUGAGCUCCUUAGGGUUUGGAAAAAUGCAAACUUUAUGUAAUAAUAGUAAUUAUGAUUAUAUGAGUAAUAAUAUAGAAAAUGAGCUGUGUAAUUCAAGUUGUAAAUCGCUUAGUGACUUUAUUACUACAGAUGUAAAUUCCAAUUAUGGUUCGAAUCAUAAAACGAAUAUAAAUAAUUUAUUAAAUAACUCAAAUAAUAAUGAUAAUGAUGAUGAUGAUAAUAUUACUAGAAUGACACAGGAUUCUCAUUUUAAUAGAAAUAAAAAUACAAAACUAAAAGGAAAUCAAGGGUUACUUACUUUUUCUUCUUAUUCAUUAAGAGGUAUAUCAACAUCAUCACCCUUGAGGAGUAGAAGAUUAUUAAGUAGUUCACCUAAAUAUUUUGUUACAGAUACAGAAAAAAAUUUUGAAGAUGCAAUUGAACAUAUGGAAAUAACAGCACAAGAUAGUGCAUUAAAAGUUAUAGAGGAUGAUAAUGAAAAAGUUAAUAACACAGAUAUAAAUAAUUUUUUAAAAUUAUUUCAUAUGGCAAAGGGUACUAACAGUUACACGGAUGAUGAUUUUUUAUUUAACACCACUUCUAAUUGUAGUACCAAUGGUAACAGUAACUGUUACAGUAAUGAUACUAAUAAUAUGAACAGUGAUGAACAUUUACUUUAUAAGCCUUAUAAAACUAUCCCUAUGUUAGAAAAUAUUGAUAGUGAUAACUAUGACCAUAGAAGUAGUGACUACGUUAAUGGAAAUGGCAACUACAACAAUGGAAAUGUUAAUUACGACAAUAAUAACGAUGUUAAUAAUAGUAAGAGUAGUAAUAAGAACAACAACAAAAAUGACAACAAUAAACAUAAAAUGCAAGACGAUAUAGUCAUAGAAGUGGAUAAUAAUAAUAACAGUGGCAAUAGUAAUAAUAAUGGUAAUAGUAGUGGUAAUAGUAGUGGCAAUAAUAAUGGUAAUAGUAGUGGCAAUAAUAAUGGCAACAAUAAUGGCAAUAGUAGUGGUAAUAGUAGCGGUAAUGAUAAUGGUUAUAGUAGUGGUAAUGAUAAGGUGACAUCAGAAGAGCAUAUAAAAAAUUGUAAUAGCAUGAAAAUACAACCAUUAUCUUCUGUAACAAAUAUGGCAACUACUAAUGAUCAUAAUA
ensembl:lncRNA